rnacentral:lncRNA from 1 species
GGAGAAAUUUUCAUGCGGACCCAAUCACUAAAGGUUGAUAUAAAGAGUAGUCCAUUCGAACCGAUUUAGGAAUCUGAAGACGGGAAGCUGGCAAAGGAUUUGAUAUGAAAACUUGUAUUAGCCGAUGGGAGAGCCAAAGUCCCUGCGGUAAGAGAUCCUUGAGCAUCAAAUUUAGUAGCUAGCUAAGAGCAAGCCAAUCAAGAUGAUAUGAUCCUUUUAAUGAUAGCCCAGUCUAUCUCAUCGUGGCCUCUAGGUGUGGUUUAAUGUGGAACAAGGGCAAGGAGGGAGUUUGAAGGAAGGUCCGAAGGAUGAUAGCAUAGGUUCACCUUACAAAGGCAUAUAGAAAAGACCCUAAUCAUUGUCCAAAUCUCUAGAGCAACACGCUUUGUCACUCGAUUAACACUUGAAUGGGGCACGUGGCACUAGCCCGCUGCAUUUUUAGAAAUUAAAAAGGCAAAGUAAGCUAAUAAAACCUUGGUAAACGAGGAAAGGUCAAUGAUCACUGUGUUAGUCAUAAAUAUGAUGUAUUGAUAAUUCCGAUGAACGACCAAUUGACUACUAAGGAUGUGAUGUUUAUAUCUUAUCAGCCUCAUAAUCUUAAGCUAAUACAACGUGGGGUAUUGUUUAUACUACAUCCUCCAACAUCCAGAAUCUAAAGGCCAGUUAGAUGACAGCCAUAUGGCGUUGCUAGAUAUUAGAAAAUAAAAGAAAUUGGUUUUGAGAGUGAACUCUAAAUUAGCUAAGCAUGUGUGAAAGCCACUAGCUAAGGUAUUGGUGGUGAUCGACUGAAAGCCACUAGCUAAGCCUUACGCUAAUUGAGCCGCCACUAGGUACUGUGAAGGAUAGGUCGGACUAUGACCUAGAGAAAUCGGUCAAACUAGACCAAGUGAUCGCCUAAGGCUCAGAAAGAAUUCCAGAUGUACCAUGUGCAAACUGAUUAUAGGUAUUAGCUUACUAUAGCUGAUUGUCACUUAUAACAUCCUCCUGAUUGGAUGAAGUCUCAGAAGCCAGGUGUGGUUAGCGGAAAUGGUUGCCAAGGAGCAAGAAUGUGGAAAAGUUGAGAUGUUGGUAGAACUAAUUACGGCAACUGCCGAAAGAAGAGGGGUGAAGUGAUGACAGCUCAUAAAGAUAGGUGUCCGCACUAGAGUAAGAUAGCUAUAUAUAUAUAUAUAUAUAUAUAUAUAUAUAUAUAUAUAUAUAUAGA